rnacentral:rRNA from 1 species
GUGGGGAAUAUUGCACAAUGGGCGAAAGCCUGAUGCAGCGACGCCGCGUGAGGGAUGACGGCCUUCGGGUUGUAAACCUCUUUCAGCAGGGAAGAAGCGCAAGUGACGGUACCUGCAGAAGAAGCGCCGGCUAACUACGUGCCAGCAGCCGCGGUAAUACGUAGGGCGCAAGCGUUGUCCGGAAUUAUUGGGCGUAAAGAGCUCGUAGGCGGCUUGUCACGUCGGAUGUGAAAGCCCGGGGCUUAACCCCGGGUCUGCAUUCGAUACGGGCUAGCUAGAGUGUGGUAGGGGAGAUCGGAAUUCCUGGUGUAGCGGUGAAAUGCGCAGAUAUCAGGAGGAACACCGGUGGCGAAGGCGGAUCUCUGGGCCAUUACUGACGCUGAGGAGCGAAAGCGUGGGGAGCGAAC